GAGAGAGCCUGUUGGAAUUUGCUUUCUUCAAGAUGGAAUAAAGACUGAUGAGUAUGUUCCAUGCAAGUCAAAAAAUAUUGAUGCUGAUGGACAGGGAUUUUGUCAAGGAGGAUUCAGCAUUGAUUUUACUAAAGCUGACAGAGUACUUCUUGGUGGCCCUGGUAGUUUUUAUUAACAAUGUCAGCUCAUCUUGGAUCAAUUGGCAGAAAUCUUAUCGAAA
rnacentral:lncRNA from 1 species